GAUAAAGAACGCAGCGAAUUGCGAUAAGUAAUGUGAAUUGCAGAAUUCAGUGAAUCAUCGAAUCUUUGAACGCAUCUUGCGCUCCUUGGUAUUCUGAGGAGCAUGCCUGUUUGAGUGUCAUUAAAUUCUCAACUACACUGACUUUGAAUUGGUGUGGCUUGGAUUUGGGGGGAAAAUUGUUGUGGGCUUUUUGUAUAGUCUGCUCCCCUGAAAUUGAUUAGCGGUACCUUUGUGGAACUGUCUACAGGUGUGAUAAUUAUCUACAUCUUAGACAUCUGCUGGAAUGCUGCUUUCUAAACCUUACUUGUAUUGACAAUCUUGACCUCAAAUCAGGUAGGACUACCCGCUGAACUUAAGCAUAUCAAUAAGCGGAGGA
rnacentral:misc_RNA from 1 species